CAGUGCCAUUCAUCUCCAGCGCCAGGACGCUUCAUAAAUAUUAGUGGAGCCUCCCCACCGUGAGCAGGAGGGAGUGGUGGCUGUGUGGGCAGCAGCGCCCAUGGGACACAGCUGGGGGGGCGCACAGCAGGGGGCAGCUCGUCCCCCUCUGCAACCACAGUGACCCAGGGGUGUGGGUUAGGGUCAUGGUUAUGGUUAAGGUUAUGGUUAUGGUUAAGGUUAUGGUUAAGGUUAGGGUUAAGGUUAUGCUUAAGGUUAUGGUUAAGGUUAGGGUUAUGGUUAGGAUUAGGGUUAUAGUUAUGGUUAUGGUUAGGGUUAAGGUAAUGGUUAUGUUUAAGUUUAGGGUUAAGGUUAGGGUUAGGGUUAUGGUUAUGAUUGGGUUUAUAGUUAUGGUUAGGUUUAAGGUUAAGGUUAGGGUUAAGGUAAGGGUUAGGUUUAGGGUCAGGUGGCCAUUGCCACACACUGCCAGAAAUGGCACCGACCUCUUCUAGGAGAGCACACGGCAGCUUUGGCUCUUUGUGAUGGAAAUGCGGCCCCGCGGGAGCAAAAGGCUGAAGUGCUCCCGGUGCUGCUCCAACCUCUGCCGGGGAUUCAGAGCACCUCAUUGACAAUGAUAUUUUUUAUUCUGAAAUGGAAGAAAGCAGCCGCUAUCUGUACAAACAAAAUUAGGCCAAAGGAGGAAAGUAAUUUUGUAAAAGAAAUAGGGAGAUGCAGGGAGAGAUGGAUGGGAGACAGAUGAAUAAACACAAUCUACAUAGGAACUGAUAAAAAUUCAAUUUCUGCUCACACACGUCCCGCUCGCAUUCGCUCCCUUCCUUUCCUCUUCUCCGCACGCUCCGGCGCUGCCUGCAGCCCUGCAGCCUCCAUCUGUGCUGUGGGAGGCACAGAACCCGCUCUGCCUUCAGCACUCUGCAGCGUUCCCCUCCAGCGCGGUGCUCUCAGCCCUGCGGCUUCAGCCCCGAUAUCUUCCCCUUGUGAGGAGUGGGGGGGAAAGGGUGAAAGCGCGCCCUGCGCCCAUGGCACCCCGGGGGGAUCUAUGGGUUCGGCUCACCCCGAUCCUGGAUGUCCCCAUGAACCCCGACCCGUGGGAGUGCUGGGCUCCCCCUUUGCUUUUUGGGCACGCUGAGCUCCGGUGGCUCUGAGUCAUUAAAGAAAAGAACACCUCCAAAAUUCCCCCACAUUUCCCGUGGGGAAACCGAAACACGCUGCCCUGUGCUGACAUCCCAUCUGGGAGCAUCCGUGUGGCACAGUACCUGAGGAUGGGCAGCGUGGAAGGAGAGAAGGUAAACAGGCACCUGAGGGCAGAUGGGCUGGGAAUCGAUGGGAGAGGCUUCGGAGCUGCAUUCUGGGAGGCUUCCAGCAGCAGUGCAGUGUUGGAGUGCAUCGGGGGCCAACCCUGCAGCGUUCAUUGGGGUGAGGCUGUAUGGGUGCCAUGGGG
ensembl:lncRNA